GCCGGGAAGGGCGCCGGUUACUAGAAAGCCGGGGAGGCGGGGCCUGGUCGGGUGGAGGGCGCGGCCGGCCGGCUGAGCGCUAGCCUUAGGUCCUGGAGGCUCUUUGGCUUUCCCCCCGUAUGCCGGGGGCUAGGAGGAGGAAGAAGAGCUUCCUGCCGGAUGAGGGAUCCAGAGGCCAAAAAAGGAACCCGCUCUCCCUUCCAAAGCAAAACACUGCCGACGCCAGCUUAGAUUUUUCGGGUGUUGGCAGGAGACUUUUUCCCCCAGUGGCAUCAUUCGUGUUUCCUCUCCUGGUGCUGGGAGAGAAGAGUUGCAAAGGCGCCUGGACCGCCAGUAACAUCUCCCAUCUCCUGAGGGAGCGCGGCUUGGGUUGCUUCUUCUUGGUGGGUGGGCCUGGGGAGACAGGGCAUGCGCCCUCGGCCAGAGGAGGGAAGCGAAAGGAGGUCGGGAUUUAUUUGCUCAUUUGGAGAUUUUUCCCUUGCCCUUUUAUUAAAAACCAAGUGACAGUGUAAUGGAAGAUGGAGAAUGAAGCAUCAGAAAUAAACCAGGACCCUAAUUUGCAUGGAUUUCCUCGUUGGAACAACGUGUGACUACUACUUAUCUUAGGGAAAUUACUUACCUUGACGCGUUAAGGCACAUUUGGUCCACAUGAGAAAGCACAUUUCAGUGCUUCUACUGGAAAAGAGAUCUUUACAGUCUUAAUUCCUAGUAAUUCCUAUGUUUUAAUGAAUAUCUUUUGGAUUUGAAAUAAAAGCCAUCUUUUUCUUUCAAAAAA
rnacentral:antisense_RNA from 1 species